GCGCCCGUAGCUCAACGGAUAGAGCAUCUGACUACGGAUCAGAAGGUUGGGGGUUCGAAUCCCUUCGGGCGCGCCA
rnacentral:tRNA from 2 species